GUGUCAGCAGCCGCGGUAAUACAGAGGGUGCAAGCGUUAAUCGGAAUUACUGGGCGUAAAGCGCACGUAGGUGGUUGUAUAAGUCAGGUGUGAAAUCCCCGAGCUCAACUUGGGAAUUGCAUUUGAUACUGUAUGACUAGAGUAUGAUAGAGGGAAGUGGAAUUUCUGGUGUAGCGGUGAAAUGCGUAGAUAUCAGAAGGAACAUCAGUGGCGAAGGCGACUUCCUGGAUUAAUACUGACACUGAGGUGCGAAAGCGUGGGGAUCAAACAGGAUUAGAUACCCUGGUAGUCCACGCUGUAAACGAUGGAUACUAGCCGUUGGGCUCUUAAUUGAGCUUAGUGGCGAAGCUAACGCGAUAAGUAUCCCGCCUGGGAAGUACGGUCGCAAGACUAAA
rnacentral:rRNA from 1 species